UCCGUGUUUUCAAUGAUUAUUUUUCUAUUAGUGAUAGAUUCCUUUUGCUCGCAGAGAAGACAAAGAAAACAUGGCUUGCAACGCGGUUCUCGAGGGCAAAAAAGCAGAGUCAGAAUUGGAAAUAGGGUUGUAAAAGGUAGACCAACAAAGGGAUUGACUAUUGUUACACAAUCUGGUGACAUCUUCUGCAGGCUAUGCAAAACAGUUGAUUGCAAGAGACAAUUCUGUGGAUGAGAUUUGGAAGUGAAGAAAGACUUUUUCACUGAUACUGUUAUAGUUCGUGUAAUUAUUAUUGUGAAUUCUUGUUUUAAAAAGUGAUAUUUACGUCCGAUUUAAAUCUUUUUAACUUGG